rnacentral:rRNA from 1 species
ACUCCUACGGGAGGCAGCAGUGGGGAUAUUGCGCAAUGGGCGAAAGCCUGACGCAGCGACGCCGCGUGAGUGAUGAAGGCCCUCGGGUCGUAAAGCUCUGUCGAGGGGGACGAAACAGUUCCGGGCCAAUACCCCGGAGCCUGACGGUACCCCUAAAGGAAGCACCGGCUAACUCCGUGCCAGCAGCCGCGGUAAUACGGAGGGUGCAAGCGUUGUUCGGAAUUACUGGGCGUAAAGCGCGUGUAGGCGGCCGGCUAAGUCUGAUGUGAAAGCCCGGGGCUCACCCCGCA